GGAAGUGUACAGCUCAAGCAGUAGAGCGCAUGCUUAGCAUGCAUGAGGUCCUGGGUUCAAUCCCCAGCACCUCCU
rfam:Camelus ferus unplaced genomic scaffold scaffold968, whole genome shotgun sequence.